AAACCGGUGUUAUCUCGAUAACCGAAUUGUUGAAUUUAUUCUCUUUCCAACGUACGUCUAUCCGAUCGGGUAUAAACCGGAUUACGCGCAGUGCCUGUUUAAUUAUUGACUCAACAAGACGCCUGUUUUUAAUUACUGUAUUUGGACAUAUUUUUCACUCGAUUAGCCACGCAAAUCCGGCAUUUUCCAGACGAGUUAAGCACGCAGUUUACUGUGGAUUUAGCCGCAGGCCCCGGCAAUGUACAUGCGUCAUUCGAGUGCAAGCGUAACUGCCUAAUUAACCCAUGCCAUGUAGAUCACUCCAAAACAGAAUUCAUGUGAAAUUAUUCCAUUUUAAUUCAACGACAAAGAGGCCAUUCACGCUAUUCCGUGUCGAGUUAAUCGAUUAGUGAUAACGACAAAAUACGUAAUAUUGGUUAAUCGUCUUCUACGUCAUUCGCGGAUAUAAUGACUGUCGUUUUUUAGAUCGAUUGAAACUCGAUAGAAUUCAUUGGAUGUGCGGGCACAAGGUCUUGCUCCCCACCACGUAAUUUCCGUUUAUUUUGCUCUGAUGUUGAGAGCUGGAACCAAGGAUGAAUACAUCAUGUGAAGAUCGUCGAGAGGGAAAUGAUCAAGGAUCAUCGAUAAAUUUUCAAUAUCAAUUGAUUUUGGUAACGAAUCGAUAACUCCAGGAGUCCAGAAAUUUUUUGGAUAACUCAGGAAUCGUUGGAGAUACCUGGAACCAGUUUGCACUCGCAAUCUUUUUACACUCACUCUUAAUUAAAUUAGAGAUAGCAGUGCACGGAGGCAUUUCUUGGAGCACCUGUGGACUGCAUUAAAAUACUGCAGUCAACGUGUGAUCAUAAUGAAGGCAAUUGCGAGAGUUUUCGAUGUAAUUAUACCUCCGGGCAUUAUCAGAAUUGCUGUUCUCGCUCCUGGGAUUUUCUCUCAGUUUCCUCCGAUUAUUCUUAAUGAUCGAUGAAAGCCUGUUUGCAACGUCAAUUCGCAAUAAUAAACUUGGGAAUCUCCUUGAAACGAUAA